rnacentral:rRNA from 1 species
CCUGGCUCAGGACGAACGCUGGCGGCGUGCCUAACACAUGCAAGUCGAGCGGAGACAGUGAGUAGCUUGCUAUGAGCUGUUUUAGCGGCGGACGGGUGAGUAACGCGUGAGCAACCUUUCCCAGACAGGGGAAUAACACACCGAAAGGUGUACUAAUACCGCAUAAGACCACGGGAUCACAUGGUUCUGGGGUAAAAGAUUUAUCGGUUUGGGGUGGGCUCGCGUCCGAUUAGGUAGUUGGUGAGGUAACGGCCCACCAAGCCGACGAUCGGUAGCCGACCUGAGAGGGUGAUCGGCCACAUUGGGACUGAGACACGGCCCAAACUCCUACGGGAGGCAGCAGUGGGGAAUAUUGGGCAAUGGAGGAAACUCUGACCCAGCAACGCCGCGUGGAGGAAGAAGGUUUUCGGAUCGUAAACUCCUGUCCUUGGAGACGAGUAGAAGACGGUAUCCAAGGAGGAAGCCCCGGCUAACUACGUGCCAGCAGCCGCGGUAAUACGUAGGGGGCAAGCGUUGUCCGGAAUAAUUGGGCGUAAAGGGCGCGUAGGCGGCUCGGUAAGUCUGGAGUGAAAGUCCUGCUUUUAAGGUGGGAAUUGCUUUGGAUACUGUCGGGCUUGAGUGCAGGAGAGGUUAGUGGAAUUCCCAGUGUAGCGGUGAAAUGCGUAGAGAUUGGGAGGAACACCAGUGGCGAAGGCGACUAACUGGACUGUAACUGACGCUGAGGCGCGAAAGUGUGGGGAGCAAACAGGAUUAGAUACCCUGGUAGUCCACACUGUAAACGAUGAAUGCUAGGUGUAGGGGGUAUCGACCCCUUCUGUGCCGCAGUCAACACAAUAAGCAUUCCGCCUGGGGAGUACGGCCGCAAGGUUGAAACUCAAAGGAAUUGACGGAAGGGC